AAUGGUGCUGGCAUCACAAAUCGCUAUUCCUGCUCUUAAAUUUUACAAACUGCUCCCGUUUGAGGCUGACUGAAGACAUGUGGGCAGGAAAUGACUGACUUGCAAAAUGUAUACUAAGUUCUCAGAAUAACUUUAUAUUAUAUCCUUCACGUACAGAGCUAAAAAAAAUAUAGCUUUGCCGUAAAACUAGGUCAAAUAAAAUUGUAAUUCUGACACCAUUACUGUGUGUACUCUUUCAGCAUCACCCUUAAAAUGUAAAUCACAUUUUCAAGCCAAGGUGUUCAUCGAAAGCCUCAUUUGACUUUUUAUCUGCGAGCGGCAGUGUUUGCAAUAUGCCUUUCGUUUGAGGAACCGCCAGAAGAAAGCAAGUGGGAGCGAGCCAACAUACAAACAGAUGAAUCAAGAGAGCAUAACAAAGCUCGCUCGUGUUUGAAGUGACUGGCCCCGUGUCAAAGGAUCUCCAGCUGGCUGGCUGGAUGGAUGGAUGGAUGGAUGGAUAAGACUUUGGAGUCAACUGCAGGUGAAGUCCAGCUCCUCUAAUGGAAUGCUUCCCAGCGCACGUCGAGUGCAAAGGGCUCUUUUGCAAAAAAUAAAAAAUAAAUACCGUCCAAGGAUGGCACAAAACUGCUAAACAAACUGGCAUCAUAGUUAAGUGCAGGAACUCAUUUUUUUCACUUAAAAUGUUAAUAUUUGUCCUGCCUAUCAUUUAAAAAUCAGCUAAAAAUUAGUGCAAGUGCAGGUAUGUCUGCCAUCUAGUGGUGACUGGUGAUAUUACAAUUUUUCCCUUGAUUUUCUUUUGGGAUAAUUUUUCAUAUUUUGUAUUUUUCCUUCUUGUGGGAUGUCCCUCCAGUUCCCACAUCUUUUGAGGAUAUUUAUCAGGUUGUAAUGAACCCACACCC